AGAGUUUGAUCCUGGCUCAGAUUGAACGCUGGCGGCAGGCCUAACACAUGCAAGUCGAACGGUAACAUUUCUAGCUUGCUAGAAGAUGACGAGUGGCGGACGGGUGAGUAAUGCUUGGGAACUUGCCUUUGCGAGGGGAAUAACAGUUGGAAACGACUGCUAAUACCGCAUAAUGUCUUCGGACCAAACGGGGCUUCGGCUCCGGCGCAAAGAGAGGCCCAAGUGAGAUUAGCUAGUUGGUAAGGUAACGGCUUACCAAGGCGACGAUCUCUAGCUGUUCUGAGAGGAAGAUCAGCCACACUGGGACUGAGACACGGCCCAGACUCCUACGGGAGGCAGCAGUGGGGAAUAUUGCACAAUGGGGGAAACCCUGAUGCAGCCAUGCCGCGUGUGUGAAGAAGGCCUUCGGGUUGUAAAGCACUUUCAGUUGUGAGGAAAAGUUAGUAGUUAAUACCUGCUAGCCGUGACGUUAACAACAGAAGAAGCACCGGCUAACUCCGUGCCAGCAGCCGCGGUAAUACGGAGGGUGCGAGCGUUAAUCGGAAUUACUGGGCGUAAAGCGCACGCAGCGGUUUGUUAAGCUAGAUGUGAAAGCCCCGGGCUCAACCUGGGAUGGUCAUUUAGAACUGGCAGACUAGAGUCUUGGAGAGGGGAGUGGAACUCCAGGUGUAGCGGUGAAAUGCGUAGAUAUCUGGAGGAACAUCAGUGGCGAA
rnacentral:rRNA from 1 species